rnacentral:tRNA from 1 species
GGGGAUGUAGCUCAGUGGUAGAGCACUUGCCUACCAUGCGUGAGGCCCUGGCUUCAACCCCA